UAAAAUCUUAAAUGAUUAGAAUAAAGGUUAAAGAAUAAAACCUAGAUGAGAAUUUGAGAAUUUAUUUAAAAUUUUCAAGAAAAACCUAUAUGGUUUGAUAUUCGAAUGAGAAUAGAGAAAAUAUGGGUUACAAAAUUCUAAAACCCUAGAAAUGAAUUAAUAUGUACUUGAAGGAAUAUCAAGAAUAAGGUAUUACGAUACCUGUAAAUUCGAUGUGAACUGAAUAGUCUAAGAAAUGUUAUAU
rnacentral:lncRNA from 1 species